AUGGGGAGCGGCACUGGCGCCGGGGCCGCGGGCGCAGCGGGCGAGGCGGGGGUGAACCUCAGCGCGGUGAGGGAGAGCACAGACGUUCUGAUUGAGAUUUCAAAGAUUUUGAAUGCUGUCUUAGAUAUGGAAACUCUGUCUAUUUGUGUACGACUUUGUGAACAAGGCAUUAACCCAGAAGCUUUAUCGUCGGUCACUAAGGAGCUUGAAAGGCUACUGAAGCACUAAAGGCUGCUGAAAAUACGACAAGCUGACUUUCUGGAGAAAUCUUGAUGAGAUAUGUCAAGCUCUGCAAGAAGAUUUGAAGAUUGCA